UCCAGACUCCUACGGGAGGCAGCAGUGGGGAAUAUUGCACAAUGGGGGAAACCCUGAUGCAGCGACGCCGCGUGAGUGAAGAAGUAUCUCGGUACGUAAAGCUCUAUCAGCAGGGAAGAUAAUGACGGUACCUGACCAAGAAGCCCCGGCUAACUACGUGCCAGCAGCCGCGGUAAUACGUAGGGGGCAAGCGUUAUCCGGAUUUACUGGGUGUAAAGGGAGCGUAGACGGCAGCACAAGUCUGGAGUGAAAGCCCGGGGCUCAACCGCGGGACUGCUUUGGAAACUGUUAAGCUGGAGUGCAGGAGAGGUAAGUGGAAUUCCUAGUGUAGCGGUGAAAUGCGUAGAUAUUAGGAGGAACACCAGUGGCGAAGGCGGCUUACUGGACUGUAACUGACGUUGAGGCUCGAAAGCGUGGGGAGCAAACAGGAUUAGAUACCCCCGUAAGA
rnacentral:rRNA from 1 species